rnacentral:tRNA from 1 species
CCCUGAUAGCUCAGAUGGUAAAGAAUCUGCUUGCAAUGCAGGAGACCUGGGUUCAAUCCCUGGGUCAGGGA